UACGUAGGGUGCGAGCGUUGUCCGGAAUUACUGGGCGUAAAGAGCUCGUAGGUGGUUUGUCGCGUCUGCUGUGAAAACUCGAGGCUCAACCUCGGGCUUGCAGUGGGUACGGGCAGACUAGAGUGCGGUAGGGGAGACUGGAAUUCCUGGUGUAGCGGUGGAAUGCGCAGAUAUCAGGAGGAACACCGAUGGCGAAGGCAGGUCUCUGGGCCGCAACUGACGCUGAGGAGCGAAGGCAUGGGGAGCGAACAGG
rnacentral:rRNA from 1 species